AGGGACUACGCGUCCACUGCGGUUCCCCCGCGCCGGCCACAUCUAGCUGACGACUGCUCGCUACGUCUUGUUGGCC
rnacentral:sRNA from 2 species